rnacentral:lncRNA from 1 species
AUGAGGAGGCGGCUCCAGGCUCACCGACACCCAGGGCGGGGAGGGUGCGGCAGGGCCCAGGGCGGGCGCUGGUCUCUGGGGGCCCAGGGCCCCGUGCACCUGGUCCAAGGGCUGGGCCUCCGCGGGUGGCGGGGAGAGGAAGGAGAGAGGGAGGGGGUGGUCUCUGCCCCAGGAACCCCAGGGGGAGAGGGCUGGGUUGGGAGACCCAGGAGGCCUGGCCCUCCGCCCACCCAGGGGUCCCCCUGCCAAAGCCCAGAGGAAGCAGCAGGCGCUCUGGCGAGGCUGCCGGUCUUCUCCAGCCUCCGGGAGGCCAGACGGGAAGGACUCACUUCCGCUCACUUCCCUCUACUUCCCACCCUCCAGGAGGGCAGAAAGGGCCCCGCCUCAAUCCUGAGACGAAGCUCACAGGAGCGCUGUGGCCGUGGGGAUGAGCCGCGGAGGACCACGAGGCACGUGCGGUUCCGAGAGCCCCUGGAGGUGGCCGUCCGCUACAUCGCCUGCAGGGAGCCCACCGCCGCUGCCCAGGAGCCCAGCCGGCCUCGGCCCCGCGGCAGCUCCCUGCUUCUGCGGCUGACGACCUGCGUCCUGCUGGCGCUGGUGCUGGGCGUGUGCUGUGGCCAGGCCGGGCCCGUGGCCGGGGCCCUGGAGGACCUCCGGGCCCGGCUCCUCGCCGCCCUCCUGCGCCUGCGGCUGGCUGCCCUGGACUGCUGGCGCUGCCUGCUGCAGCUCUGA